GGGUUGUGAGGUUAAGCGACUAAGCGUACACGGUGGAUGCCCUGGCAGUCAGAGGCGAUGAAGGGCGUGCUAAUCUGCGAUAAGCGCCGGUAAGGUGAUAUGAACCGUUAUAACCGGCGAUACCCGAAUGGGGAAACCCAGUGUGACUCGUCACACUAUCAUUAACUGAAUCCAUAGGUUAAUGAGGCGAACCGGGGGAACUGAAACAUCUAAGUACCCCGAGGAAAAGAAAUCAACCGAGAUUCCCCCAGUAGCGGCGAGCGAACGGGGAGGAGCCCAGAGCCUGAAUCAGCAUGUGUGUUAGUGGAAGCGUCUGGAAAGGCGCGCGAUACAGGGUGACAGCCCCGUACACAAAAGCGCAUGUGCUGUGAGCUCGAUGAGUAGGGCGGGACACGUGGUAUCCUGUCUGAAUAUGGGGGGACCAUCCUCCAAGGCUAAAUACUCCUGACUGACCGAUAGUGAACCAGUACCGUGAGGGAAAGGCGAAAAGAACCCCGGCGAGGGGAGUGAAAAAGAACCUGAAACCGUGUACGUACAAGCAGUGGGAGCACAGGUUUACCUGUGUGACUGCGUACCUUUUGUAUAAUGGGUCAGCGACUUAUAUUCUGUAGCAAGGUUAACCGCAUAGGGGAGCCGGAGGGAAACCGAGUCUUAAUUGGGCGUUAAGUUGCAGGGUAUAGACCCGAAACCCGGUGAUCUAGCCAUGGGCAGGUUGAAGGUUGGGUAACACUAACUGGAGGACCGAACCGACUAAUGUUGAAAAAUUAGCGGAUGACCUGUGGCUGGGGGUGAAAGGCCAAUCAAACCGGGAGAUAGCUGGUUCUCCCCGAAAGCUAUUUAGGUAGCGCCUCGUGAAUUCAUCUCCGGGGGUAGAGCACUGUUUCGGCUAGGGGGCCAUCCCGGCUUACCAACCCGAUGCAAACUGCGAAUACCGGAGAAUGUUAUCACGGGAGACACACGGCGGGUGCUAACGUCCGUCGUGAAGAGGGAAACAACCCAGACCGCCAGCUAAGGUCCCAAAGUCAUGGUUAAGUGGGAAACGAUGUGGGAAGGCCCAGACAGCCAGGAUGUUGGCUUAGAAGCAGCCAUCAUUUAAAGAAAGCGUAAUAGCUCACUGGUCGAGUCGGCCUGCGCGGAAGAUGUAACGGGGCUAAACCAUGCACCGAAGCUGCGGCAGCGACGCUGAUGCGUUGUUGGGUAGGGGAGCGUUCUGUAAGCCUGUGAAGGUGGCCUGUGAGGGUUGCUGGAGGUAUCAGAAGUGCGAAUGCUGACAUAAGUAACGAUAAAGCGGGUGAAAAGCCCGCUCGCCGGAAGACCAAGGGUUCCUGUCCAACGUUAAUCGGGGCAGGGUGAGUCGACCCCUAAGGCGAGGCCGAAAGGCGUAGUCGAUGGGAAACGGGUUAAUAUUCCCGUACUUGGUGUUACUGCGAAGGGGGGACGGAGAAGGCUAUGUUGGCCGGGCGACGGUUGUCCCGGUUUAAGCGUGUAGGUGUGUGUUCCAGGUAAAUCCGGUUCACUUUAACACUGAGGCGUGAUGACGAGGCACUACGGUGCUGAAGCAACAAAUGCCCUGCUUCCAGGAAAAGCCUCUAAGCAUCAGGUAACAUCAAAUCGUACCCCAAACCGACACAGGUGGUCAGGUAGAGAAUACCAAGGCGCUUGAGAGAACUCGGGUGAAGGAACUAGGCAAAAUGGUGCCGUAACUUCGGGAGAAGGCACGCUGACACGUAGGUGAAGUGAUUUACUCAUGGAGCUGAAGUCAGUCGAAGAUACCAGCUGGCUGCAACUGUUUAUUAAAAACACAGCACUGUGCAAACACGAAAGUGGACGUAUACGGUGUGACGCCUGCCCGGUGCCGGAAGGUUAAUUGAUGGGGUCAGCGCAAGCGAAGCUCCUGAUCGAAGCCCCGGUAAACGGCGGCCGUAACUAUAACGGUCCUAAGGUAGCGAAAUUCCUUGUCGGGUAAGUUCCGACCUGCACGAAUGGCGUAAUGAUGGCCAGGCUGUCUCCACCCGAGACUCAGUGAAAUUGAACUCGCUGUGAAGAUGCAGUGUACCCGCGGCAAGACGGAAAGACCCCGUGAACCUUUACUAUAGCUUGACACUGAACAUUGAGCCUUGAUGUGUAGGAUAGGUGGGAGGCUUUGAAGUGUGGACGCCAGUCUGCAUGGAGCCGACCUUGAAAUACCACCCUUUAAUGUUUGAUGUUCUAACGUGGACCCGUUACCCGGGUUGCGGACAGUGUCUGGUGGGUAGUUUGACUGGGGCGGUCUCCUCCUAAAGAGUAACGGAGGAGCACGAAGGUUGGCUAAUCCUGGUCGGACAUCAGGAGGUUAGUGCAAUGGCAUAAGCCAGCUUGACUGCGAGCGUGACGGCGCGAGCAGGUGCGAAAGCAGGUCAUAGUGAUCCGGUGGUUCUGAAUGGAAGGGCCAUCGCUCAACGGAUAAAAGGUACUCCGGGGAUAACAGGCUGAUACCGCCCAAGAGUUCAUAUCGACGGCGGUGUUUGGCACCUCGAUGUCGGCUCAUCACAUCCUGGGGCUGAAGUAGGUCCCAAGGGUAUGGCUGUUCGCCAUUUAAAGUGGUACGCGAGCUGGGUUUAGAACGUCGUGAGACAGUUCGGUCCCUAUCUGCCGUGGGCGCUGGAGAACUGAGGGGGGCUGCUCCUAGUACGAGAGGACCGGAGUGGACGCAUCACUGGUGUUCGGGUUGUCAUGCCAAUGGCACUGCCCGGUAGCUAAAUGCGGAAGAGAUAAGUGCUGAAAGCAUCUAAGCACGAAACUUGCCCCGAGAUGAGUUCUCCCUGAGACUUAGAGUCUCCUGAAGGAACGUUGAAGACGACGACGUUGAUAGGCCGGGUGUGUAAGCGCAGCGAUGCGUUGAGCUAACCGGUACUAAUGAACCGUGAGGCUUAACCUUACAACGCCGAAG
rnacentral:rRNA from 1 species